rnacentral:rRNA from 1 species
AUAACACUGUGACCUAAAUCCAACGAGGUUGUCAAACUAAAAGAUUUUCGGCCAAUAAGCUUGAUACACUCAGUGGGAAAGAUCGCCAGAAAAUAGCUCUCCAUCCGCCUGGCUCCAUUCCUGCCACUACUAAUUCCCUCCUCUCAAAGCGCCUUCAUCAAGUCCAGAAGCAUCCAUGACAACUUCCUCUUCAUCAAAAACGCUACCCGUGGCCUCCACCAACGACCCAGCUCUACUGCUCAAGUUGGACAUUGCCAAAGCUUUUGA